AGUCGUAACAAGGUUGUGUAGAGUCGUAGUUUGCGCUGCAUACGGCGCGAGCAGACUGGAGGGGAGGUGCCAUUUUCCUUGAUUGCGCAUAUAGACUCUUAAACCAACGAGCCGCUUCGGUAGGGACUUCUACCUAACAGGGACAGUAGAUUUAGUGUAGGGUCGAGAGCACAACUGUUAGCAAUGGAUAUCUAGGUUCCCG
rnacentral:misc_RNA from 1 species